GACGAAGGUGGCGAGCGUUGUUCGGAAUCACUGGGCAUAAAGCGCACAGUGAGCGGCGACGUAAGUUGGGUGUGAAAUCCCUCGGCCCAACCGAGGAACUGCGCCCAGUACUGCGUUGCUUGAGGAUCCAAGGGGUGCAUGGAAUUCCCGAUGGAGCGGUGAAAUGCGUUGAUAUCGGGAGGAACUCCGGCGGCGAAAGCGGUGCACUGGUGGAUUACUGACGCUGAGGUGCGAAAGCCAGGGGAGCAAACGGGG
rnacentral:rRNA from 1 species